UUUUUAUUUUUUUCCUCUCUCUUUUAUUUCGCAAGGCCAUCUCUCCCACUCUCGCGUUCCUUCUUCGUCGCCUCGACUUCUUCGUUGCGACACUGAGAGAGUUGAGGGAGCUGGCGGCGCUUUGACUUCUUCACAGUGUCACUCUGUCUCUCUUUUUCUUCUCACACUCACGCCUCACACAGUUCCUAAAUCCCUAGCCAGUACAACCUCACUCACUUUCUCUCUUUGUCUCUCUUUCUCUCAGAUUCCUACAUUGUCUGCGCACUGGCACCAAACAACCAUAAGAUCUGCACCGUCGCUGAAAUCGGCCUCAACGACGCAUGCCGUCGGGAAUCAGCAACUUUGUGGUUGAAGCGCAAGGGCACUGGUGCUGCUGGAAGGAAACAAUCGAAGAAAGCUGCUAAGGUUCCUAACAAGCGAAAGAGACCUCCAAGCGCUUUUUUCAUUUUCAUGUCCGAGUUCAGAGAGCAGUUCAAGAAGGAGCAUCCUAAUUUAUUGAUGAUAUCCACAUUUUUGUAACCUAGUUUGCAUUAAUUUAAUGUUUCAUGAAAAAGUCCCUUCGUUGCUAUGGCCAAAAAGAAGAAACAAGAGUAUAAGAAAACUAUUUUGGCUUACAAUAAGAAAUUGGAGGGGAAGAAUCCAGAGGAAUACGAGUCUGACAAGUUAAAGUUUGAAGUCAAUGAUGAUGAGGUAGAUGGAUAUUAACCUGUUAUUAUGAUUUGGGUCUUGUUUAACUAAUUUUGAUUCUGAUCCACCAAACUGGUUUGUUCUCUGUUACUUAAAUUGAGGCGAUUGAAGAGCUUGCUAAGGCAUGAUUGAGGAACCCUUGAGAGUUGAAGUUUGAGCAGAAAAAAGUAAUAUGAAUUUUGUGUUGAAUGAGGGUGGGGUCUUGUUGAUGCAAAUGUUGUUGUUUAGAUACGUGGCCUUGUAAAGACAUAUCCUGGAACACGCAGCUUUGGUUGCUGUUUAAAUGUAAAAGAACUUAAGAAGAAAGGAGACCCAAAGUAAUUGGAUGAGGCUUAGAGAUGAACUCAUUUAAAGCAUCUACCUGCCAACCUAAGAGACUGGACCCAAGGCCUUAGCUUUAGGUUAGUUAGAUGAUAUGUUUACAUCAUGUUAUCCGUAGCUUGGGCAGAAAAAAACUUGUUAAUUUCUUUGUAGCUAUCUGCAUAUAUAUACAAGUAGUAGUGCUCGAGCAAAAACUACUUUGUUCAUUAAACGAAGAACCUCCAGCACCACCAUUAUCAUUCAGCGA